UUUAACGAUAAUGUUAAGUGUUGUUCAAAAAUAAUAUCGCUAACUUUUGUGUUAAACUCUCGCUAACUUUAAUCAUAUUUUUACCCAUGAUUAAAUACUAACGACUGCGUUAAACAUGGCUGGCUUAGCAUUAUACAAUGUUCCUCAACAAAGAAGACCGCGACAUUUUCGCAACAGGGAUGGCUUAUCUUUGGAUUUCACUGAUGAGGAGUUAAGGACACGAUAUCGAUUCAGCAGACGUAGUAUUUUGGUGCUCUCAGACCUUGUUAGGGAUGACUUACAGAGAGGGACACACAGAAACCAUGCAUUCACUGUGGAACAGCAAGUCAUGGUUACACUAAGAUUUUUGGCCAGUAGAAGUUUCCUACAAGUUGUUGGAGACACACUUGGUAUGUACACACAUGGAAAAGACACCUAACUGGGAAAGUGGCAUCUUACUUGGGGAAAGUGGAUAUCCAUGCCGCCCAUUCAUCAUGACGCCUUAUGCCCGUCCUGCAAAUGAAGACCAGACAAGGUUUAACAGGCAUCAUGCUACAACAAGAUGUGUAAUAGAAAGGACCUUUGGGAGAUGGAAAAGGCGUUUUCAUGUACUUCAUUCAGAGAUUCGUAUGAAACCUGAAAGGGUAUGUAGCAUUAUCAUGGCUUGUGCCAUUCUGCACAAUAUAGCUUUGUGGAUGAAUGAGCCUGAACUGCCAGAAGAUCAAGAAGAGGAGAUGCCUAAUAUAGAUGCAGUGUACAAUGGAGCCAAUGAUGGAAGAAGAAUGAGGGAUCACAUCACUCAGAUGUACUUCACACAUUAAAUUCGCACAUUAAA